rnacentral:ribozyme from 1 species
AAGAAUGGAAAAAGCAAGCAAAAGCUUAAAAUGUUGGAGCGCGUGUUUUUUGUUUUGGGGUAGGGAUGCGUUUUUUUCUUUUUUCUUUUCUUUUUUAUAAUUUUUUUGUUGAGCAAAGCUACAAUGAAGA